UUGCAGACAAUGAAUGAAUGAGUGAAACUUCAUUUGCAUCAGCCAUCGGCCAUAGCAAUAAAAUAACAAUACGAUAUACAAAGAAUAGAAAUAAAAAGUCAAUUAUAUAAAAUACAUUUUAGGGUUUUGAAUCAAUUAUUCAACAGUUGAUCUUAUUCUGAUUGCCCCAGCUAAAAACCUUGCAACCUUUGCUGUCACCUGCUCAUCUUGAUCUGCCAAGAGAAAGGACCCUGUGCAGUGGUUGGGCGACCCAGAAUGGACAAUAAAAGUGGGGGGAUAAUCUAAUUCUUCAAGCUGCAGAUACCUUUUUGUCCAAGAGCAUUAGAAGGGGGGUGAACCACAUAAUUAAAAGGAGUUAGCAAGAGAAAGGAAGUGUGCUGUUGGGGCUAAGGGGGAGGCACCAGAUUGGCAAAGGCUGGUUAAAGGCAGGGUGUUGGUUUCUGGAGUACUAUCUGGAAUGUUGAUACUACUGUGUAGCUAAUGACAAAUGGCCUGUCUCCAUUAUGCAGAGUCUGCUGUGAUCCUAAAUCCAUAGCUCAUCCAUCUACCGAGAUGACUGGCUGAAGUUGACCAGUCAAGGCAAACUGUAGAUAAGCUUUUUUCCAUAUGCCACACAUCCUACUGUUCCUCCAAAGAGGGCCAUAGCAGACUACGUACAGUCUCUCAUACAAAUGGAUGCUUAACUUACUUCAGUGCAAUGGUAUAAUUUCAAUGUGUGCCUUCAAACCGUUUGACAGGAGAGAUUUUUGAAGUCUGCUCUCCCAAGUUUGCUAUGAGACUUUGGUGGGCUGGUGAGAGUAGUCAGUUUCAGCAACCAUGCUAGGUAAAGGUAAAGAGACCCCUGACCAUUAGGUCCAGUUGUGACCGACCCUGGGGUUGCGGUGCUCAUCUCGCUUUAUUGGCCGAGGGAGCCAGUGUACAGCUUCCAGGUCAUGUGGCCAGCAUGACAAAGCCACUUCUGGUGAACCAGAGCAGCACACGGAAACGCCGUUUACCUUCCCACCGGAGUGGUACCUAUUUAUCUACUUGCACUUUGAUGUGCUUUCGAACUGCUAGGUUGGCAGGAGCUGGGUCCCAGCAACGGGAGCUCACCCCGUCGCGGGGAUUUGAACCGCUGACCUUCUGAUCAGCAAGCCCUAGGCUCUGUGGUUUAACCCACAGCGCCACCCGCUGUCCCAACCAUACUAGUUCAUCUUUUUUUGUGUGUGUGUAAGGUGAGCACACCCACAUCCAUGUGCUGUUGCAGCAUGUAUUAUACUUGUGUGUGUUUUUUAAGUGGUGGUAGGGUACCUUUGGCUCUCCAGAUAUUAUUGAACUUCAUCUCCCAUCAGCCCCAGCCACUGUAGCCAAUGGUCAGGAGUGAUGUGACCUGUAGUCCUGCAAUGGCUGGAGGCAUAUGUUUCUGCAGGAGUUUUUCCUGGGGGUUGGAGCAAAGCAGGUGGGGAGAAUGAGGGAGUAGGCUAGUUUCUAGCAGCAAUAGUGCCUGUACAUUUCCCCACAUACCUCAAGUAGCUAGAAUUUUUUUUAAAAAAUAAGAUGGGAAUUUGGGGGUUAUGAUUCAUUGAGGUGAGCUUUCCCCUAUCCUCCUCUCCACUCAUCCACAGAUUGUUCAUACAUGUUGGGUAGAUAUUUCAGUAUUGGCUUGAAAGCAGCCAGUAUAAAAAUGAGCUCCAUUAUCAUGACAAGUCAAUCUAUCAGCUUGAAUUCUAAUUCUGAUUUACUUCUCUCAGUGCCAUUGCUUAUGUAGUCAAAAGUGCAAUAGACACACACAAGGAAUUAGCAUGCUUGAGGCAACCUCAAGGUUUGCAGAAAAAAACAAUGUUUAGAGGGGGGGACAAAGGGGGAGGAAACCCCCUAAACCAACACAAUGAGAUCAUGCUUAAGUGCCCACAGAAAGCUGGCUGACUGCUGACAGUGGGGGAGACAGAACACUUCAGAAAAAGCCUGUAGGGGAAGACCAGCCCUCCCAUAAAACAGCCCAAAGAAGACGUGAGUAAGGUCAAUGGAGGAUUGCUAAAUCUUUAGGUGAGGUCAAGGGAAGAGAUGGGGAAUGGUAUGGACUGGAAGAGUACAGGGUACUAGCCCAGCCAGCCAAAAACAAGGAACACUCCACACUGCAGAACUUAGCUGCAGAUCUCACUUGUAUUUACAAGUAAUCAUCCUCUUAUCACCCUGUUCUGUGUAAUUUUAAACAUAGGCUUUGCCAAGUGUGCUAAUGUUCAUUCACCUUGCAAAUGGACAAACAACAUCAUUCAGGCUAGUUCCCCUUUGUGCUGCCUUGUGCCUGUGGCUAUUUUGAGAACAACAACAAGUCUUAAACUGAUUCAAUUAGACCAGGCACGUACAACAGGUAGAUCGUGAUCUACUGGUAGAUCACUGGAUGUUUGUGGUAGAUCACUGGUAGAUCACUGGCUCCCCCCAAAGAAGCUCAACAACUUUGGCUCCCACCAAAAAAGCUCAAAAGUUUUGCCCUGCACCCCAAAGAAACAAGGCUUUCCUUCCCCCUAAAAAAAGCCCUACAACUUUGACCUGAACCCUUAAAAAAUGGGCCUUCCUCCUUCCUAAAAAAAGCUCAACAAUUUUGACCUGAACCCCCAGAUCACCACCAGAUUUUAACUCUGUGAGUAGAUCACAGUCUCUUGGGAGUUGGCCACCCCUGCAUUAGACCAUGGGUAGGCAAACUAAGGCCUAUCUAAUCGCCUUCUAAAUCCGGCCCACGGACGGUCUGGGAAUCAGCAUGUUUUUACAUGAGUAGAAUGUGCCCUUUUAUUUAAAAUGCAUCUCUGGGUUAUUUGUGGGGCAUAGGAAUUCGUUCAUUCCCCCCCCCCCAAAAAAAUAUAUAUUAUAGUCCACACACACCCCACAAGGUCUGAGGGACAGUGGACCGGCCCCCUGCUGAAAAAGUUUGCUUCAGGCCCUUUGUUGUUGCUGAGAUCUUCUGCCUCACCCUCCAUGAGAUGCUCACAUCUCUAACCACUUUCUUCUGGAUACCUACAGACCAUUGUGCAUUUUCAGCAGAAUCCUUUUCCACAGUGCCACUUGAACUUCAGCAGAACCUAGCACUUCUUUCAAAAUGGAGCCACUGCUUCCUAAGCUGUAAAGCAGUUGCCUGAUCCAGCCCGAGCAAUUUUUAUCUCCACCCUCCCAUGACUGAGCUUUUGGCAGUUCUAAAAAGGGAGUGGCAGUAAACAUCAUGACAGGGUGAGCAGAGCCUGGCAUCCUCCCUGGGUCAUAAAAUCAAAUAUUUGAUAGGGGGAUAGGCCCUUUCCUCAUAUGACCUGCAUGGACCAGCUGAGAAGGGGAAGCUGUGUGCCUCUGUGUGUGUGUCUGCAAGACUGUGUGGGCAAAUGUGGGGUGGCCACACCCACCACUGCCAUGUGACCCCUGGAAGGCGGGACAAGGAUCAAUGUGGCCCUCAGAGCAAAAAAAGGUAGCCACAUCACAUUGGCUAGUUAAUGGCUGUAAAGCAAGAGAUGAACCAUUAACUGUACUACUUAAGCUUCUGCCGUAUAAGACUACUUUUUAACCCAGGAAAAUCUUCUCAAAUGUCGGGGGUCAUUUUAUAUGCCGGUUGUAUUUCUUAUACGGCGAGUAUAUCCCAAACUCUAUAUUUUAGCUGGAAAAGUUGGGGGUCGUCUUAUACGCCCAGUCUUAUACACCAGAAUAUACGGUAUGUUGCCAUUUGCACUAUCUCAAUUUCCUUGGUAAUCAGAGGCAUAAAAUACUUGCACAUCCUUUGCUUGAAUAGCUUCAUGAGUGCAUCUGUUUACAAACCUCUCUUGAUCUAGUUACAGGUAGGUAGCUAUGUUGGUCUGACGUAGUCGAAACGAAAUAAAAAAAUUCUCUUGAUCUGUCUGCUUGCUGCUGAAUGAUAAAUUUAAAAAGCAACCCAAAAGGUAAAGGUAUCUGUGCUAGCCCACACGAAAAAUUCCGAAAGCCAUAUUAGAGCAGUGUGUUAGCUUUCAAGUUCUACAGAACUCCUUUUCAGACUAGGCAGCGGGAGACCAUGGUUACAAGUGGGUUUCAGUUAUUGACACACAACUGUUGUGUGUUCCACCUUCCCAGCAUCCCUACAGGCAACGGGAAACCAGCACCUAACAGAGGCUCACUCGAAUGUACAGUAUGCCAGCUCCUCUAUGAUCCCAUCUAAAGUCUUUUAACAGAUGCAGAAUCCAUAACAUCACUAUAAGCUGCUUUCUCCCCUCCCGCCCUUUCUCCGUUUACCAUCCUACAACAGGGGUAGCAAACUCUGUGCCCUCCACAUGUUGCUGGACUACAAACCUGCAUUAUCUCCGAUCACUGUUUAUACUGGUUGGGGCUGAUGGGAGUUGUGCCCAGUUGCCUGCUUCUGAGCCAGAUGAAGUGUUUGGAGAACUGGAAACUUUUUCACAAUAUGUUGUUAUAUCUUUGUUGGCUUAAUGAUGUUAUCACCCUAAUAGGGAUUUUAAAAGCAAGUGUCUUUUCUUUGUUUCAUGAGUAAGAACUUCCAGAGAGGCAAUGGUGAAUCUUUGAUACAAACAUAUAUGUGCCAUAUGUCUGGAUUUUCCCGGACAUUAGCAGGAUCCCAAAGGCUGAAACGACAUCCGAGGGGAAUUUCCAAAAUAUGGCAACCCUACACAAAAACACAGUCGUUUCUGGUAACGUCUUGGAAGUGGGAGCAAAGUGUGAUUCAUUUUAACUACAUUUAUAUGCUGCCUUUGUACCAAAGCACUCAAAAAUCAUAGACUCAUAGAACUGUAGAGAUGGAAGGGACCCCAAGGGUCAUCUAGUCCAACCCCCUGCAAUUCAGGAAUCUCAGCUAAAGCAUCCAUGACAGAUGGCCAUCCAACCUCGGCUUUAAAACCUCCAAGGGGAGUCCACCCCAUCCUGAGAGGUGUUACUAUUUUAAAACCUUGGCAUUCAAGCAAAUAUGCACACUACCCACCCCAUACCCCUGUACUACAAGGUACAGGAAAUUACUUUGGCUUCAAAGAGACUGAUCAGCAUUGGUCAGAUUUCCGCCAUCGCUUCCACAGAAAUGCUGGAAUGCUGUGGAGGAAGGGAUGCUUUGAAUCUUAUAUACUGGAUUCCUCAGGUUUUAUUUGCCAGUCACAAAAUAAAUGCCCAAAUAUUUGAAAGACAUUUAUUUCAGUGGUUGUCUGUCCAUGCUCUGUUCAAAUUAGGGUGAAAUACAUCUGAAGCCCAGUCGAUGGAUUUGUGGGUGGGAGUGGAAACAGGCAAGGGAACAAGAGAGAUGGAAAACAGGCAAGGGCAGGCAGAGAGAGAGAGAGAGAGAGUGCAGUCAGUUCUGCCAAAAUAGUAUUUUACACAAAACAUUAUCUAUACAGCAAUGGACUUCUGUAUGUGAAGUAUUGUGUAUGCUCACCCACCGAAUAGAUGGCUGAUGCAUGGCUAGGAGGAGGAGGAGGAGAGGACGCCGCCGUUUCCGAGGCCCAGCCCCACGUGACGCCCCAGCUCUGAGGGGCAGGCGAGGGCAGGGCCGCCCUGAGCUGGAAGGAAGGGGGAGCGCAGCGGAGCACCAAGCCUGGUAUGGCCGCCUCCUCCUCUGCCACGAGAGGCUCCGCCGCCACCUGCUUCCCCCAGCAACCGCCAUCUGUGAGGGGAAGGGCCGGGACAGAUGAAGAUCCCCAGCGCUUGCUCUUGCCGGGGCUCACUCGAGGGCUUGCGAGCCGAUUCAUUCAGGAUAAAUCCUUUUGCAGCUCUUCACAAUCCUUUUAAAAAGCCCAUCUUGAACAGUUAAGUAUAAUCAGCAAACUUGACUACUUCACUAACUUUAGACCAGUUAUGAACAAAUAAAAAGCACAGGCCUCAAAACUGAUACUUGGGGGACCCUGCUGUCUACAUCCCUCCACUGCAGAACUGUCCAUUUAUUCCUACUCUCUGCUUCUUGCAGAGGACCUCUUAUUCCAUGACUGCUAAGCUUACUCAAAAGUCUUUGGUGAGGUACUUGAAAGGUGAUGGAGAUGAAGAGGCCUUCAUCUGCACUUGACUCUGCACACUCCCGCAGAGCCUGGUCUGGAAAAUUGAUUUGCUGGGAAGAAUCAGGGCUGCAAGGAAGGGCCUUGGAGAAAAGAGCCAGGCCACAAACGCAAUGAUUCCAGCAGCUUUUGCAGCUCUAGCAGAUAGGGCAGUUUGAUCUUAUUCCCGUUUUCCAGGCAGGGAGAGAGGGCUGAGAUGAGAGACAAUGGCUUGUCUUGGAGUUAAUGGUUGGAGAAUUCCUACUGUGCUAUGUCUCUAGUUCAGGCAUUCCCAAACUUCGGCCCUCCAGAUGUUUUGGAUUACAAUUCCCAUCAUCCCUGACCACUGGUCCUGUUAGCUAGGGAUCUUGGGAGUUGUAGGCCAAAACAUCUGGAGGGCCGCAGUUUGGGGAUUCCUGCUCUAGGUUGAGGUUUCCCAAACUUAGGUCUCCAGUUGUUUUUGGGCUACAACUCCCAUCAUAGCUAGCAGGACCAGUGGUCAGCAAUGAUGAGAACUGUAAUCCCAAAACAGCUGGAGACCCAAGUUUGGCAAACCCUGCUCUAGGUGCUCUGAUGCUGUAUAGAAGAGGUUUGACGCACAGUGUUGUUGCUGCAUAUUCGGAAGUUAUGAUUCCCUAUUCAGGCAUUUGGCACCUAAAGAUACCAAACAUGAUAAGAACUAGUGGGAAAGUGUGCCUGGUCAAAGUAUGAUCAGUUCAGUUUGAAGGAAGCCACUUCAACAAGUAUAGGGGUAACUCUGUCGGCCCUUCAUUGACCAGGCUUCCCUUCAGCCUAGCUGAUUUCCGUAACUGUGGGACGGUGCCAGCCUGUGCCAUUCAAGGGUGGUUGCAAAUUAGCACACAUUCUGAAAAGUACACUUUAAAGGCUGGACGGUGUAGGAUUGAUCUAUAACCCAUCCAGCAAAUUUACAGAGGGUAAAAGACUGAUGACGGACUCUGCCGAAAUGGCAAAAUUAACUGGGAAGUUCAGAAAUCAAGACGACAAGAACUUUAAAAGAGAAUGGGAAAAGUUUCUAAUUUAUAUACAAGAUCAUUGUAAGCAGGUUAAAACACAGUCAGGAUUUUAACCACACUUGUAAUGGAAUGGAAUGUAUGUAUAAUUUAGAAUAACAAAGAAUUGGAGAGGUACUGUACUGAUACGCAGUUGAAAAUAUUAUCAACAAGACCAGUGGAAGGGAUGGGGGGGGGGAGUCAGGAGAUUCAGAGUAAUCUUGAUAUUUGGAUUUUGAAUAGUUUUUUGUUGUAGGUUUAUAUUUUUGAAAAUCAAAUAAAAAUUGAAUCAUUAAAAAAAAAAACAGUAGCCCUUUGGAUGGGCAUCCA